rnacentral:rRNA from 1 species
UGAACGCUGGCGGCGUGCCUAAUACAUGCAAGUCGAGCGAACAGACGCGGAGCUUGCUCCUCUGACGUUAGCGGCGGACGGGUGAGUAACACGUGGAUAACCUACCUAUAAGACUGGGAUAACUUCGGGAAACCGGAGCUAAUACCGGAUAAUAUAUUGAACCGCAUGGUUCAAUAGUGAAAGACGGUUUUGCUGUAACUUAUAGAUGGAUCCGCGCCGCAUUCGCUAGUUGGUAAGGUAACGGCUUACCAAGGCGACGAUGCGUAGCCGACCUGAGAGGGUGAUCGGCCACACUGGAACUGAGACACGGUCCAGACUCCGACGGGAGGCAGCAGUAGGAAAUCUUACGCAAUGGGCGAAAGCCUGACGGAGCAACGCCGCGUGAGUGAUGAAGGUCUUCGGAUCGUAAAACUCUGUUAUUAGGGAAGAACAAAUGUGUAAGUAACUAUGCACGUCUUGACGGUACCUAAUCAGAAAGCCACGGCUAACUACGUG